rnacentral:rRNA from 1 species
UACAGAGGGGGCAAGCGUUAUUCGGAAUUAUUGGGCGUAAAGGGCGCGUAGGCGGCUUGGCAAGUGGAAGGUGAAAUCCCUCGGCUUAACCGAGGAACUGCCCUCCAAACUGCUUCGCUUGAGACCGGGAGAGGUGAGUGGAAUUCCCAGUGUAGCGGUGAAAUGCGUAGAUAUCUGGAGGAACACCGGUGGCGAAGGCGGCAUCCUGGACCGACACUGACGCUGAGGCGCGAAAGCUAGGGUAGCAAACGGG